rnacentral:tRNA from 1 species
GGAAAGAUGGCAGAGUGGUCGAAUGCACCGGACUCGAAAUCCGGCAUACGUUUUUGACGUAUCCAGGGUUCAAAUCCCUGUCUUUCCGCCA